rnacentral:misc_RNA from 1 species
GUUAACGGAACUUUUUUUUACUGAAUGCUUAUCGCGCAAUCCCUGUUUUUACUUGUGUAUUCUUGUUUUUAAUGGCAUCAACGCGCAUGCACGCAAGCGGGAUGAAUCUGCAACUUUUAGAUCGGCAGCUGUCGCAUAUAGGCACCGAGGUGGAUUUUUGGUUAAAACAAACGGUACAGCUAAAGCUAGCGAAAUCGGAACCAUUAAACGGAACGAAUGCCGGAGGAACUAUGCCGGGAAUCGUGAUACAGCACGGGUCAUCGGGCUUUACGCGCGACCUGCCGUACUACGAGCCCAAUGCGAAAAUGCUGCAGGCCCAUACAAACAAUUUUAUGGACGACGAUUUGACCGACAAUGACGCCAUCUUUGCGCAUUAUUUGAGCACCGAGAAGUUGGAGUUUUACAAUGCGGCCUCGGUGAUGCUGACUCUGCUUACUAUCGAGGAUGUGACUACAAUGAAGCUGUACUCGCAGCUCAUCGAGCCGGAUGUGGCAGUUCAUAAAGUACAUAGAAAUGCAUUUCGUGUCGCUCUCACUGCUAGAGAUUCUGUCAAUGCCGAGGAAGUGGUGUCCCCGGGAAUCGAUGAGAUUGUCUUGAUACCCAAGUGUAGUUUAAUGGCCUCGCCGCUGCCAAAGGAGCUCAUAUCGGCCCUGUUUCCACAUCCGCAUGAGCAAUUGCCUCUUAAAGAUCCGAUGCGCCGCCAUGUGGCCAGUGUGGAACAGGUCUGCCGCACCAGUGUUCACUUCAAGUUCAGUAAGGAAAAACUUCCAGACGUCAAUGUGUUGCAGUCGCAACGCUUUCAUGUAAUUCUCCGCUCCAGGCGUAUUCCGUUUCGCUUUAUGUACCGCGCUGUCAAUAUGCUCCCGGAGAUGCCAAGUCUCCGUCGUUACCUCUUUCCCUUUCCGAAUUGGCUAACCACAAUGAUAGAAACUUCGAAGAUUUCAUUGCAUGAUUGCAAUCUUCCAUCUUGGAUGCAAAUCCAACCGCCGCCCCCGCAAGCUCCUCCAGCACAUAUUUGGCUGCUGAACGAGACCAUAGGCUACAAUGAAGAACAGUUGGAGGCGGUGCAGACGAUUGUGGCUGGACCCAAUCCCAAAGCUCCAUUUAUAGUGUUCGGACCACCAGGCACUGGCAAGACCACUACCAUUGUGGAGGCCAUUCUACAGGUGCGCCUUCGACGACCGCAAAGCCGCAUCCUUGUAGCAGCCGGUUCGAACUCGGCCUGCGACACGAUUGCCAUGAAACUGUGCGAGUAUAUCGAAGGAAACUUUCGGCUCAUGUUUUUAAGGAAAAAGGCGCUGAUCCGAAUCUAUUCACGCAGCAUAUUCAAGAAGGGACUGAAAUUGGUGCCGCCCUUGCUGCUGAAGAACUCCAAUUGCUCGGGCCAUUUGUUCAGGCAUCUACGAGUGGGUAAUGUGAUUACGUAUACCAUCAUCGUGGCCACAUUGGUUACUGUCGGCCGCCUGGCUAACGAUGGCUUUGGUGACUUUUUCACCCACAUAUUCAUCGACGAGGCUGGAGCUUCCACCGAGCCGGAGACUAUUAUGGGCAUUGUGGGUGUUAAACAGAACAAAAAUUGUCAUGUAAUUCUGUCCGGAGAUCACAAGCAGCUGGGAGCAGUGAUCAAAAGCAGCCGGGCUGCGUCCCUUGGCUUGAAUCAAUCUCUCAUGGAGCGUCUACUGGCAUCGGAUUGCUACAAGGUAGACGAGAACGGCAACUACGAUCGCACCCUUCAGGUGCGUCUGCGUCGUAACUAUCGGUCACAUCCCGAGAUCGUACGUCUUUUUAACGAGCUCUACUACGGCGGAGAGCUAAUCGCAAAGGCUCCGGACGAACAGGUCAACCUUGCCGCUGAAUGGGAUGUGCUGCCCAAUGGCCAGUUCCCCAUCAUCUUCCAGGCCACACAUGGAGCCACCGAAAAGGAGGAGCACACCACCAGCUCCUUCAAUUCGCUGGAAGCAAAGGUUCUGUGCUGGUACGUCAAGCACUUGAUAAAAAAUGGCCUUGGCCCAAAUAUAGAGGUAAAGCAGGAAGACAUCGGUGUGGUGGCUCCAUACACGUCUCAGGGCAACCUAAUCAUUCGGAAGCUUAAGCGGCAGGGCCUCGGCAAUGUGGAAGUUGGCAGCGUGGAGACCUAUCAGGGCAGAGAGAAGCUCAUCAUCAUUGCCACUCUGGUGCGUUCGUUCAGCAAUAUGGGGUUCAUGCGUAACCCGCGUCGCAUCAAUGUGCUCAUUUCGCGACCCAAGGCGCUGCUCAUACUGAUUGGUAAUCCCGUCACUCUGCGCCAUCAUCCCGACUUCAAGUUCAUCAUUGAUGAGUGCAUCCAACAUCAAACGUAUCUCUUCAAAAAGAGAGAUUCAUUGCACUCCGUGGUAAAACAUGUGGCUAUAAGCGAUUUGGAAGAUGGCAAAAAUGUGAACACUGCAAAUCCGAAAAAAGCCUUAGUUAAAGCCAAGCAAGUGAUCCCAGAAAUGGAUAAAAUCUCCACCACCAUCUGUGCCAUGAUGAAUGCUUUAAAUAUAUCAUAGAGCUGCGCUCUUCCCUAAUCUAAAUCAAACAGAAUAUUCUAGAGAUAUAAGCUAGGACUAACGGCUGCCGUACCCUGAUAAUUAUAAGUGCAAGACCCAGAGACUGACUAGAACAUUCCUACAU